rnacentral:rRNA from 1 species
UACGAAGGGGGCUAGCGUUGUUCGGAAUCACUGGGCGUAAAGCGCACGUAGGCGGAUCUUUAAGUCAGGGGUGAAAUCCUGGAGCUCAACUCCAGAACUGCCUUUGAUACUGGGGAUCUCGAGUCCGGAAGAGGUGAGUGGAACUCCGAGUGUAGAGGUGAAAUUCGUAGAUAUUCGCAAGAACACCAGUGGCGAAGGCGGCUUACUGGUCCGGUUCUGACGCUGAGGCGCGAAAGCGUGGGGAGCAAACAGG